ACCAGCACAUGCAAAGAGUGCUGGCGGGAUUCAGGGCAUUUCAAUAGCACUGGUUCACUCCAUGUAGUUCAUCUAAAGCACUCCCCUCUUCAUUCAGCCAUCACUUGACAACGCAGACUCUUCAGAAGCCUGCCUGAUGCCCAUCAGCUUGAGGGACACAAGUCUUCAUCCUCCAUCACAGCACAAAGACAUCUGGACGAUUGUCAAGGACGUCACAAUCUAUGUGAUAGCUGACAUAUCCCAUGGGGCAUUGCAGAAAAGAAAGCGAAGUCACUCUUGCGUGAGCAAAUACAGUAUGGGUGUGCUGACUGGUGGAAAGCUGCUUGUAGAGAUUACAUGUUUCCAGCCUUUCAAUAUCAAUCUUCACCGUUACAUCUACACUUUAGGGGGUACUGUAUGAGCUAGCCGUGAAUUCACAACUAUGCUCUUCUACAUGAUGGGGACCCUGGAUGACACUUGCACAGAUACAAGUACCAAUCACAGAGAUUCAGUGUUUGUCUGAUGAAGCAUUGUUUCAAUAAUCUACUGCCCUCAGCCUGAGCUUUAGAGCCUCUCUCCCUUGUGUGACAGUUUCCAGGAAAAGAUGUUUUGCUCUUUAAUGGUUAGCUAAAAGCUGUAGAUUUACACUUCCCCCUUUUAUUUAGAUGGUCAUAUCUUCUCCCCAUAGCCAACAGCAUAAACUAAUCCUGUAUUGCGUUUCAAUAUAAUGAUAUAUAGAAAUGGUGAUUACCCUCUAAUUCAAUUGCAUGGUAAUCAAAUUGUAGUAAUGGUGCUUAUUUGGUACCCCAAUUUAUAGUUUUCCCAGAAAUCAUUAAGCAAUUUACCCUUCAAAUCUACUUUGAAUAUGCGUGAGCACAGAAACACAUGCAGACUAGUAUUAUGGUGUAUUAUAUGAAGCCCCAGCUGUUUGAGAUGAUGAUGAUGAUGAUGAUGAUGAUGCAGCAGAAGGACUCUUGUGAGAGUCAUGGGUAAACCGAAAGAGUCCUGGCAGUCUUCUGGACACAGACUCCUUCCUGUUUGCCAGGAUUGGGAUAAAGAUGCUGGAAUCAAAAGACGGCACUGAAACAUAUCCAAAGUUUGAGCCACAUGUGUUUACCCUUAACCUCAACAAAGCCUGCUUCUGAAUGUCUGGAAUAUUGGCCUAUCGGUACAUUUUGGAAAACACUGAGGAAGGGCUAAAGUCUACAGAGCCUUCGCAAUCACACUUGUUUUGUUUGUGCCAUUUACUUGGUGCGUGACUGCAGCAUGUCAACAGCCUAAUGUAAUCACUUACUUUCUGUUUGUUUUCAUAAAGGGUUUUACAUGCAUUAAAUGCUGUAAUGAAUCAGU